rnacentral:rRNA from 1 species
GCAUAUCAAUAAGCGGAGGAAAAGAAACCAACCGGGAUUGCCUCAGUAACGGCGAAGUGAAGCGGCAAGAAGCUCAAAUUUGAAAGCUGGCUCCUUCGGGGUCCGCAUUGUAAUUUGCAGAAGGAUGCUUCGGGUGCGGCCCCUGUCUAAGUGCCCUGGAACGGGCUGUCAGAGAGGGUGAGAAUCCCGUCUGGGAUGGGGUGUCCGCGCCCGUGUGAAGCUCCUUCGACGAGUCGAGUUGUUUGGGAAUGCAGCUCUAAAUGGGUGGUAAAUUUCAUCUAAAGCUAAAUAUUGGCCGGAGACCGAUAGCGCACAAGUAGAGUGAUCGAAAGAUGAAAAGCACUUUGAAAAGAGAGUUAAACAGCACGUGAAAUUGUUGAAAGGGAAGCGCUUGCGACCAGACUCGCCCGCGGGGUUCAGCCGGCAUUCGUGCCGGUGUACUUCCCCGUGGGCGGGCCAGCGUCGGUUUGGGCGGCCGGUCAGCGGCUCCCGGAAUGUAGCGCCUCUCGGGGCGCCUUAUAGCCGGGGGUGCAGUGCGGCCAGCCUGGACCGAGGAACGCGCUUCGGCACGGACGCUGGCAUAAUGGUCGUAAACGACCCGUCUUGAAACACGGACCAAGGAGUCUAACAUCUACGCGAGUGUUCGGGUGUCAAACCCGUGCGCGCAGUGAAAGCGAACGGAGGUGGGAGCCCCCUGAGGGGCGCACCAUCGACCGAUCCUGAUGUCUUCGGAUGGAUUUGAGUAUGAGCGUAGCUGUGGGGACCCGAAAGAUGGUGAACUAUGCCUGAAUAGGGCGAAGCCAGAGGAAACUCUGGUGGAGGCUCGCAGCGGUUCUGACGUGCAAAUCGAUCGUCGAAUUUGGGUAUAGGGGGCGAAAGACUAAUCGAACCAUCUGGUAGCUGGUUCCUGC